GCGCGAGUGGCUCAGUGGUAGAGCAUCGCCUUGCCAAGGCGAGGGCCGCGAGUUCGAAUCUCGUCUCGCGCU
rnacentral:tRNA from 1 species